rnacentral:tRNA from 1 species
ACAGUGGUGGUUCAGUAGUAGAAUUCUCACCUUCUGUGUAGGAGACCCAGGUUCAAUUCCCGGCCAAUGUA